rfam:Peniophora sp. CONT PENSPscaffold_135_Cont209, whole genome shotgun sequence.
GGCGGGAUGGCCGAGCGGUCUAAGGCGCCAGACUAAGGUCGUAUCCGUAAUGCGUAAACCCUGUAAUCUGGUCCGAAAGGGCGUGGGUUCGAAUCCCACUUCCGUCA